rnacentral:rRNA from 1 species
AGCAGUCGCCGCGGUAAUACGAAGGGUGCAAGCGUUACUCGGAAUUACUGGGCGUAAAGCGUGCGUAGGUGGUGGUUUAAGUCCGUUGUGAUAGCCCUGGGCUCAACCUGGGAAUUGCAGUGGAUACUGGGUCACUAGAGUGUGGUAGAGGAUAGUGGAAUUUCCGGUGUAGCAGUGAAAUGCGUAGAGAUCGGAAGGAACAUCUGUGGCGAAGGCGACUAUCUGGGCCAACACUGACACUGAGGCACGAAAGCGUGGGGAGCAAACAGGAUUAGAUACCCGUGUAGUCCCUGUCUCUUAUAC